rnacentral:lncRNA from 1 species
CACUGGUGUUGAUUGAUGGACACACUGGACAGGAAGGGGAGAGGGAAAGAGAAAGAGAAAGAGAAAGAGAGUGAGAGUCACACAAUUGGCAAGCAUUUCUACUUCCCUGUAUUGGAGAUCAUGUGAUCACCUCCUCCCCCCCACCAUCCAUUCAAUCUCUACUCACCCUGUGUAAUGGGCUUCAUCAAAGCAAAGGGUGGUGCCCAUGUCCAUGCUAUCAUAAUAACAAUAAUAACAACAAUGAUAAUAUUGAUAGUAGUAGGCCAAAGCCUGCACAGCUUCUGAGAUUGGUGCCCUUACAGUUUGUUAAGAAUGCAGACAGUUUUGUAGAACAUGAAUAUUAGUUGCAAAGUAUUAUUUUUUGUAUAUAUUUGUAUGUUUUUUAAAGUGGGUGUUAAUGUUGCAAGGUUUUAUGCAUUUCAUAGGCCCACUUGCUCAUCCAAAUGUGCCUCUCUUCUUUUUUUUUAGUGACACAUGGUAUGUGUUUUAUGUGUACAUUCACAAGUAGAAUGUUGUCUGAUACUGUAUAAUACAGUUUAUAAGCAGAAACAUGUGCUAUUGAGCAUGGAUAUGGUACUUAUGAAUUUGAAACAAAUUUCGGUUUUGAGGAAUUUCAUAUUGAAUAUAUUUUUGUGAACUACACAUUGGUUUUAGUUAUUGAUAUCCCACUUUGAAUUAUUUCAUGUGAACUCAAGUUAAUAUUCAGUAUACAAUAAUAAGGUACUUUUUCCAAUGAUGAAAAUUAUAUAUAUAUAUAUAUUUAUAUAUAAAUCUAUUCAUUGAUUGUGUCUCACAUGAGAUCCACCUUUUUUCUUACACAAAUAUUCAUGUGCAGAUAAGAGAGUAAGUAGAGGGGGGGGGGUAAAUGGAGUAUCACAUUGUGCAUGGUGUUUCUCAAUCUGUUGUGGCAGCUCAACUCCAUACCAAAGGACAAAGAUACUCUUAAGGGAGGAAAUACUGUGUGUGUGUGUGUGUGUGUCUGUAAGUUUUUUUUGUGUUCAUACUGGCAUCAACACCACCAUAGUCCACAAUAACAAUGGCCAAACCCUCCAUCCAGGAAUUGAAUUAUCUAUGGGCUCAACUCCAAACUCAUAUGCUAUGCUCCUUCAUUCUAAACCUUAAUGGCCAUUUUAAAAUUUAAAAUUUAUUUUUUUUUACUCUUCUGAUGUUGUCAAUGAGCUGCUCACUAAGCAGAGCUUAAUUUUUUCUUGUAGAGAAUGCUUCACUUAAUACAGAAACUGAUGAUGUAAUCUUAUGUGAGCAAUUUUGCUUAGGAAGUUUCUCACAAACCAUGUUCUAUCUAAAUUUUAAAUUAAUGAAAUUCUAGUUGUUAAUGAGAAGCUUGUGUUGGAUCCAAAAUUUGUUUGGUCAUAUUCUCAAAAUACUUUUGAAUAGGCAUAUGAUUCUCUACCUAACAAAUGUAAAGAACUCAAGUAAAAUACUGUUAUGGAUAAUAAUCCAGAAGGUGUUUAUUCAAACUCCAAAACAUCAUAAUCACACUUGCUAAAAGCUUCAAAUGCAGUCAUAUAUGUAAUUCAUUUAUAGUUAGCACACUGCCUCAGGAAUAGCUAAAAUGUGCACAACAACCAUAAUGCAAAAAAAUUGGGUGUGUGUGUGUGUGUAUGUUUUUUGUUUGUUUGUUUUGUUUUGGGUUUUCAAGUUUUUCUUAAAUUUUUACAUCCAGUAAUAAUAAAACAUCAAUGAACAUGUUUUGAUAGUAAAUUUAUUGUUUAUUUAUUUAUGAUAAUAAAGAAUAUCAUGUGGGUGAAACUGGUGACUAGUCAUGAACAAAGUGUUGGUAAAGAGGGUACAGUGGUAGGUAGUAUUCAAGCCUGAAUCUUAAAUGCAGAUGCAGCAUAGAAAUUGUCAUAGCUAGGUUUUAGAAGGAUCCAAGCCUAUUCAAGGACAGAGUUUGUUGCUGCAGGUUAAUUCCAUGACAUGGCUAACGUGCUUGUACGCUCUCCUUCCCCCUCACUCUCUCUCU